GAUGAACGCUGGCGGCGUGCCUAACACAUGCCAGUCGAGCGACCGCACGGGAAGAUCGUUCUCUUGCUGUUAGCGGCGGGCGGGUGAGUAAGACGUGCAUCACCUUCUUCUUAGACUUGGAUAAUUUCGGGAAACAGGUGAUGCUAACGGCUCAUAUUUUCUACCGCAUGGUUCAAAAGUGAUUGACGGUUUUGCUGUCUCAUAUAGAUGGAUCCGCGCUGCAUUAGUUGGUUGGUAAGGUAACGGCUUACCAAGGCAACGAUGCAUAGCUGACCUGAGAGGGUGAUCAGCCACACUGGAACUGAGACACGGUCCAGACUCCUACGGGAGGCAGCAGUGGGGAAUCUUCCACAAUGGGCGAAAGCCUGACGGAGCAACACCGCGUGAGUGAAGAAGGUCUUCGGAUCGUAAAACUCUGUUAUUAGGAAAGAACAGAUGUGGAAGAAACUGUGGACGUCUUGACGGUACCUAAACAGAAAGCCACGGCUAACUACGUG
rnacentral:rRNA from 1 species